rnacentral:rRNA from 1 species
GAUGAACGCUGGCGGUAUGCUUAACACAUGCAAGUCGAACGGAAUCUUCGGAUUUAGUGGCGGACGGGUGAGUAACACGUGAGAACCUACCUUCAGAACGGGGAUAACAGUUGGAAACGACUGCUAAUACCCGAUGUGCCGAAAGGUGAAAGAUUUAUCGUCUGGAGAAGGGCUCGCGGCUGAUUAGCUAGUUGGUAAGGUAAAGGCUUACCAAGGCAACGAUCAGUCACUGGUCUGAGAGGAUGAGCAGUCACACUGGAACUGAGAAACGGUCCAGACUCCUACGGGAGGCAGCAGUGGGGAAUUUUCCGCAAUGGGCGAAAGCCUGACGGAGCAAUACCGCGUGAGGGAGGAAGGUUCUUGGACUGUAAACCUCUUUUNUNAGGGAAUAAAAAAUGA